CGCUGUAGCUCAGUUGGUUAGAGCGCUUGAUUGUGGAUCAAGAGGUCGUAUGUUCGAUUCAUACCAGC
rnacentral:tRNA from 1 species